ACAGGGAUUGCCUCAGUAACGGCGAGUGAAGCGGCAACAGCUCAAAUUUGAAAGCUGCCAACAGGCCGCGUUGUAAUUUGUAGAAGAUGCUUUGGGUAUCGGCCUAGUCUAAGUUCCUUGGAACAGGACGUCAUAGAGGGUGAGAAUCCCGUAUGUGACUAGUGCCGGCCCCCAUGUAAAGCUCUUUCGACGAGUCGAGUUGUUUGGGAAUGCAGCUCAAAAUGGGUGGUAAAUUUCAUCUAAAGCUAAAUACUGGCUAGAGACCGAUAGCGCACAAGUAGAGUGAUCGAAAGAUGAAAAGCACUUUGGAAAGAGAGUUAAACAGUACGUGAAAUUGUUGAAAGGGAAGCGCUUGCAAUCAGACUUGCGGGCGGUCGAUCAUCCGAGGUUCUCCCCGGUGCACUCGGUCGCCUUCAGGCCAGCAUCGGUUCUGGUGGUGGGACAAAGGCCGCGGGAAUGUGGCCCUUCGGGGUGUUAUAGCCCGCGGUGCAAUGCCGCCUACCGGGACCGAGGACCGCGCUCCGGCUAGGAUGCUGGCGUAAUGGUUGUAAGCGACCCGUCUUGAAACACGGACCAAGGAGUCUAACAUCUAUGCGAGUGUUUGGGUGUCAAACCCACACGCGUAAUGAAAGUGAACGGAGGUGAGAACCCUUCAGGGUGCAUCAUCGACCGAUCCUGAUGUCUUCGGAUGGAUUUGAGUAAGAGCAUAGCUGUUGGGACCCGAAAGAUGGUGAACUAUGCGUGAAUAGGGUGAAGCCAGAGGAAACUCUGGUGGAGGCUCGCAGCGGUUCUGACGUGCAAAUCGAUCGUCAAAUUUGCGUAUAGGGGCGAAAGACUAAUCGAACCA
rnacentral:rRNA from 1 species